GUUGGUGGUCAUAGAAAGGUGGAAAUACCCGUUCCCGUUCCGAACACGGUCGUCAAGCACCUUUUCGUUGAUGAUACUCCUAAUCGGGGGAAAGUAAAACGCUGCCAACU
rnacentral:rRNA from 1 species